AUAAAUACGAUGAAGAAGAAGAGUACAUCAAACUCAGCUCGCAGAGAGAGGAUGCCUUGGCUGGGAGCACCCUUGAGCGUGAAGGAUGGAAGACCGCCUUCGGAGUUGCAUAAGCCGCUGGCCAGCGUUAGGGUAUAAUGAGAGGAUACAUAUGUAUCCAUAAGGGUGGAACCACGGGAAUAAGCUCUCGUCCCUGCU
rnacentral:ncRNA from 1 species